GACGAACGCUGGCGGCGUGCUUAACACAUGCAAGUCGAACGGAAAGGCCCUGCUGUUGUUGGGCGCUCGAGUGGCGAGCGGGUGAGUAACACGUGAGUAACCUGUCCUUGACUUUGGGAUAACUUCAGGAAACUGGGGCUCAUACCGGAUAGGAGCUCCUGCUGCAUGGUGGGGGUUGGAAAGUUUCGGCGUUGGUGGAUGGACUCGCGGCUUAUCAGCUGGUGGGGCGGGUAGUGGUGUACCAAGGUUUCGAGGGGUAGCAGGCCUGAGCGGGGGACCGGCCACAUGGGGACUGCGAUAGGGCCCAGCAGCGUACGGGAGGCAGCAGUGGGAAGUAUGGCACAGUGGGGGGAAGCCUGUGACAGAACUGCUGCGAGCGGGAUAAUGGCCUUCGGGUUGUGAACCUCUUUCGCAUGUGCUGAGGAGUGAGUGACGGUAAUUGGUAAAGAAGCACCGGCUAACUACGUG
rnacentral:rRNA from 1 species